rnacentral:rRNA from 1 species
GACGAACGCUGGCGGCGUGCUUAACACAUGCAAGUCGAACGGAAAGGCCCUGCUUUUGUGGGGUGCUCGAGUGGCGAACGGGUGAGUAACACGUGAGUAACCUGCCCUUGACUUUGGGAUAACUUCAGGAAACUGGGGCUAAUACCGGAUAGGAGCUCCUGCUGCAUGGUGGGGGUUGGAAAGUUUCGGCGGUUGGGGAUGGACUCGCGGCUUAUCAGCUUGUUGGUGGGGUAGUGGCUUACCAAGGCUUUGACGGGUAGCCGGCCUGAGAGGGUGACCGGCCAAAUUGGGACUGGGAAACGGCCCAGACCCCUAGGGGGGGCAGGGGGGGGGAAAAUUGAAAAAGGGGGGGAAGCCGGAUGCAGCAACGCCGGGGGGGGGAUGACGGCCUUGGGGUUGUAAACCGCUUUCCCCUUGAAAGAAGCGGGGGCGACGGUAAUGGGGAAAGAAGCACCGGCUAACUACGU